GAAGGGGAGGAGGAGGACUCUGAAAGACGCCUCCUGUGGAGCAGGCUACGACACAAAGAAAUGCUGCUAACACCAGAUGACCAACUCCUUUCCAGUUACGGACCAUCCCGGUGAUGAGACCUCCAUAUGUUGUCUGAUGGCCGCAGUUCCUUGGUGUCUACAUCUCUUAGGAAGAAGAGAAUAAUGAGAUGAUGUAUGCAGAGCACUGGCAGAAAGCCUAGCAUAGAGGAAUCUGAGGAUUCGCCAUGCAUGCUUCCUGGUAUAUAGUACUAGUUCUUGUCAAUGGCACAGAGACUUGAAGACUGUAUAUAAAUGGACACACCUACUAGAAUGAAUGGAAACCCACACUGCUGUUGUGAAGACACCUGAUGAAACUCCAGCAACUUCUACAUCUGGCCUGCUGCUUAGUCCUGGGACCUGAGGUCAAAAUCUUAGAAAAGAGCCAUGUGAGAUGCAUUCCCUGGCCUCAUCUCUGUUCUUGGAUGCUGUCAGCAACACUCCUUGAGUUUUUACCCACAUAAUAACACUUUCCUCAGCAUGGAUGUGGAGGUGGGGGUGAGGAAUGUUCUAUUUUUCCUUCGAUGGUUACGCCCUCACCCUACCAACUCAGUAAAAGGGGAGUGGUCAGGGG
rnacentral:lncRNA from 1 species